GAUGAGCGCUGGCGGCGUGCCUAAUACAUGCAAGUCGAGCGGUAAGGCCCCUUCGGGGGUACACGAGCGGCGGACGGCUGAGUAACACGUAGGAACGUACCCCAAAGUGAGGGAUAACUGCUCGAAAGAGUAGCUAAUACCGCAUGUGAUCUACGGAUUAAAGCUUUAUGCGCUUUGGGAACGGCCUGCGUCCGAUUAGCUUGUUGGUGAGGUAAUAGCUCACCAAGGCGAUGAUCGGUAGCUGGUCUGAGAGGAUAAUCAGCCAGACUGGGACUGAGACACGGCCCAGACUCCUACGGGAGGCAGCAGUAGGGAAUUUUCCACAAUGGGCGAAAGCCUGAUGGAGCAACGCCGCGUGCAGGAUGAAUGCCUUCGGGUUGUAAACUGCUUUUAUGUGUGACGAUUAUGACGGUAACACAUGAAUAAGGACCUGCUAACUACGUGCCAGCCGCCGCAGUAA
rnacentral:rRNA from 1 species